CCAAACUGUAGGAAGGUGACUGCUGGGCCCUGACAGGUUCGUUGUGGCUUUCAAAUCUUGCAAAUGACAUCGCUUAUUGUAUUGAGUGUGUACAUGUAGACAAUUAAACAGUAGCUGGCAUGCUCCUAUUUGGAAACCACAGCCCAUGACUGAUUGUCCUGUGUCUGACUUGGGCCCUGCUGGGGACCGGAGAGGGAAUUAACAUGGAUUGCAUUUGGUGUUUGUCAGAUACAGUAAGCUGGCCUUGGUUGAAAAGACAGCUGGGGAAAGAGAGAGAGGAAGAGAAAGAGAGAACACACAUGAAUGGUGGGGAGAAGAAGAGGAAGAGGGAGAGAAUCCUCAAGCAGACUCUCCACUGAGUGUGGAGUCCACGGGGCUUGAUCUCAUGGCCCUGAGAUCACAACCUGAGAUGAAAUAAAGAGUUGGCCACUUCCUGACUGAGUCACCCAGGUGCCCCUCAUCUGUUAUGCUUUAAAAAUAGUCAAUGGUCUGCAGAACAGUGGGUUGGCAAGUCUGUGGAAGAAGAUGCAUUCAUCCAUGCAGACAGUCAGUAUUCUAGAAAGGUACAGCCCCAAGAUACAAUUACAGGAAAAUAAAGGGGCUUCCUCAAAGGGAAAAGAAACAAAUGUCCACAGGAAUCUGUUCUGGAUCUCCCCUGCCAGCUCAGUAUUUGCAGACUGCAUUCGAACAGCUUCCCUGCGCUGCCUGGAGUAGACAGCUGACCAACAGAGCUGAAUUGCCAUCCAAUAAAUCCUGACUUCCAGAAACAUGGUUAGAUGAUGGCUACGGAGACCCAAGGGGCCAAAAGGGUUUUCUCAAACUCUGGUUUAUGAGGACUUAUAAUUUUUAUCCACCUCAGGAGAAAUGUUUCACCGUCUCCCUCCCCAUGAGUCAUUGGCUCCAAGAUGUCUAAUCUGGGCUUUCCAAAUCCAUCACACUUCUUGGGGAUAAAAAGAUCUAUGUUAAUUCAAGGUAGCCAGCAUCGCUGGAGUCUUUUCCCCAUUACUUCUGAUCUACACAUUAAUGCGAACAUAAUUGGUGCAUUUCACCCCAUUUUCCUGCUAAGCCUAGGCAAGAAGUGGGAGACUUUUCAUCCCUUGAGUCAUUGAUCUCCAGAAUUACAGCCCCGCUGCUGCUGUCUGCUGUGUCUUCUGCACUUCAUAUAAACCCCUCCGGCUGCCCCAGAGGCUUGCACCAUAGUUUGCCCAAUGCAAGUAAUAAGGCUGACAAAUCGCUCCCUGUU